UGCUAGGCCGUAAACUUGAAUUACACCACCAAAUGCCCGGGAAUUACGAGCCAUGCUUAAAACCCAAAGGACUUGACGGUACCCCAUCCACCUAGAGGAGCCUGUUCUAUAAUCGAUAGUCCCCGUUUUACCUCACCUUCACUAGAUUUUUCAGCCUGUAUACCUCCGUCGCAAGCUUACUGUAUGAACACAAAAUAGUGAGCCUAAUUGGCCGAUCCCAAACACGUCAGGUCAAGGUGCAGCCUAUAUGAAGGAAGCAAUGGGCUACAAUUUCUAACAUAGAACAAACUAACAGUCACAUGAAACUGUGACUCAAAGGCGGAUUUAGCAGUAAGAGCGGAAUAGAGAGCCCCUCUUAACACGGACCUGGGUUAUGU
rnacentral:rRNA from 1 species